rnacentral:lncRNA from 1 species
UCCCAAGUAAGUUCUUUUCUUGCCUCAGACUAGUGAGGACUUCACAGUUUUUCAUAAUACAAAAUUGGUAGUUCUGACCAGAAUAGAUAAAAAGAAGCCAAACUAUUUUAGGCAAAAUUGCCGUUUACAGGACUCAAAAAGCGAAAUGGCAACUCCGAAAAAAACAACAGAACGUUGGACUUUGAUUUCUGCCUGGGUAGCUGCCUCUGAAC